AGCGGGUGCAUUGCUGUGCUUCGCAAUGGAUGAUGGGAAGCCUGUGUGGGCGCCUCACCCAACAGAUGGGUUCCAACUGGGCAAUAUUGUGGACAUCGGUGCCGACAGCCUCACAAUAGAACCCCUCAACCACAAAGGCAAGACCUUUCUGGCUUCCAUCAGCCAAGUGUUCCCCGCUGAGGAGGAUGUCAACAAACAUGUGGAGGACAACUGCUCUCUCAUGUACUUGAACGAAGCGACCCUCUUGAACAAUGUCCGCAUACGCUAUAGCAAAGACAAGAUCUAUACAUACGUGGCCAAUAUAUUGAUUGCUGUGAACCCCUACUAUGACAUCCCCAAGCUGUACGCCCCAGAGACCAUUAAGAUGUACCAUGGCCGCUCUCUGGGCACGCUCCCUCCUCAUGUCUAUGCUAUUGCGGAUAAGGCCUUCCGGGACAUGAAGGUCCUGAAGAUGAGUCAGUCCAUCAUUGUUUCAGGUGAAUCUGGAGCUGGAAAGACGGAAAACACCAAGUUUGUCCUCAGGUAUUUAACAUCAUCAUACGGAACAGGCCAAGAUAUUGAUGAGAGAAUAGUUGAGGCCAACCCUUUGCUUGAAGCCUUUGGCAAUGCCAAGACAGUCAGAAAUAAUAACAGCAGUCGAUUUGGGAAGUUUGUGGAGAUUCAUUUCAAUGAGAAGAAUGCAGUGGUGGGGGGGUUUGUGUCCCACUACCUGCUGGAAAAGUCUCGCAUCUGCAUGCAGAGCUCAGAGGAGCGCAACUACCACAUCUUCUACCGCCUCUGCGCCGGCGCCUCCGAGGAGAUCAGGAACAAGCUGCACCUCAACUCCCCAGACAGCUUCCGGUACCUGAACCGCGGCUGCACACGCUACUUCGCCAGCAUGGACUCCGACAAACAGAUCAUGCAGAACCGGAAGAGUGCUGAGGACAAUAAGCACGACAAGGUCGGAGCGCUGAAAGACCCGCUGUUGGACGACCAGGGUGACUUCAACAGGAUGUGCGUGGCCAUGAAGAGGAUUGGCCUGGACGACACAGAGAAGCAGAACCUGUUCAGAGUAGUGGCAGGUGUGCUGCACCUGGGCAACAUUGACUUUGAGGAAACAGGAAGCACCUCGGGUGGCUGCAUCCUGAAGAACCAGUCCAGUCAAACCCUGCAGUACUGCGCUGAGCUGCUUGGCCUGGACCAGGAGGACCUGCGGGUCAGCCUCACCACCAGGGUCAUGCUCCCGGCAGCAGGGGGCGCUAAAGGCACAGUCAUCCAGGUGCCCCUAAAGGUGGAGCAGGCCAACAACGCGCGGGAUGCCCUGGCCAAGGCUGUGUACAGCCGCCUCUUUGAUCAUGUGGUCAAGAGGGUCAACCAGUGCUUCCCUUUCAAGACCUCCUCCAACUUCAUCGGGGUCCUGGACAUCGCUGGUUUCGAAUAUUUUGAGCACAACAGCUUUGAGCAGUUCUGCAUCAACUACUGCAAUGAGAAGCUGCAGCAGUUCUUCAACGAGCGCAUCCUAAAGGAGGAGCAAGAGCUGUACCAGAGAGAAGGCCUGGGGGUGAACGAGGUGCACUAUGUAGACAACCAGGACUGCAUAGACCUGGUGGAGGCCAAGCUGGUCGGAAUCCUGGACAUAUUGGACGAGGAGAACCGUCUGCCGCAGGCCAGCGACCUGCACUUCGCUGAGGCCGUGCACAACAAGCACAAGGACCACUUCCGCCUCACGGUUCCCCGGAAGUCCAAACUGACAGUGCAUAGGAAUCUGAGAGACGACGAAGGCUUCAUUGUCCGGCACUUUGCGGGAGCUGUGUGCUAUGAAACGACCCAGUUUGUGGAGAAGAAUAAUGACGCCCUCCACAUGUCCUUGGAAAUCCUGGUAUGUGAGUCGAAGGACAAGUUUGUGAAGGAUCUCUUUGAGAACUUCAACAACUCCAGGGAUGCCAAGCAGAAAGCUGGCAAGCUCGGCUUCAUCAGUGUGGGAAACAAAUUCAAGACGCAGCUGAACCUGCUAUUAGAGAAGCUCCGCAGCACGGGCUCUAGCUUCAUCCGCUGUGUCAAGCCCAACCUGAAGAUGGUGAGCCACCAAUUCGAGGGCGCCCAGAUCCUCUCGCAGCUGCAGUGUUCCGGCAUGGUGUCAGUGCUGGACCUGAUGCAGGGCGGCUUCCCUUCCAGAGCCCCUUUCCACGAGCUCUACAAUAUGUACAAGCAGUACAUGCCUGACAAACUGACCAGGCUGGACCCACGGCUUUUCUGCAAGGCUUUGUUCAAGGCUCUGGGACUGAAUGAUAAUGAUUACAAGUUCGGCCUCACGCGGGUCUUCUUCCGUCCGGGGAAGUUUGCCGAGUUUGAUCAGAUCAUGAAGUCGGACCCUGAACACUUGUUGGAGCUGGUGAAGCGGGUCAACAAAUGGCUGGUGGUGAGCCGCUGGAAGAAGGUGCAGUGGUGCGGGCUGUCCGUCAUCAAACUAAAGAACAAGGUGCAGUACAGAGCCCAGGCCUGCAUUAAGAUUCAGAAGACGGUGCGCAUGUGGUUAUGUAAGAAGAGACACAAGCCACGCGUCGACGGCCUGGUGAAGGUGAAGAACCUGAAGAAGACGCUGGAGAAGUUCACGCCGGCAGUGACCGGACUCAAGGAAGGCAAGCAGGAGAUGUCCAAGCAGGUGCAGGAGCUGGGCACCGCCAUUGACGCGCUAAUGGCCAAGAUUAAGAGCACGGUGAUGAGCCGUAAGCAAAUCGAGCAGGAGUACGAGGGCCUGGUCAAGCGCUCGGAGCAGCUGCUCUCCUCCAUGCAGAAGCAGAAGCAGGAGGAGGAGGAGCGUGAGCGCCUCAAGCGCAUCCAGGAGGAGAUGGAGCGCGAGCGCAAGCGCCGCGAGGAAGAGGACCGGCUCCGCAAGCAGGAGGAAGAGGACCGCCGCCUGAAAUCUGAGAUGGAGCAGAAGAGGAAGCAGGAGGAGGAGGAGUGCAAGAAGAGGGAGGAGGAAGAGCGCCUCCUGCAGGCUGAGAUGGAGAAGCAGCUGGUGCUGGAGCGUGAGGAGUCGGUGCAGCAGCAGGCCAUGCUGGAGCAGGAGCGGCGUGACCGCGAGCUGGCCAUGAGGAUCGCCCAGAGCGAGGCCGAGCUCAUCCAGGAGGAGGCCCAGAUGGACCCCAGCCUGCGCAGCUACGAUCUCUCAUGUGCCUCAUUCUCAGAGAGAGAGAAGUAAGAUCUAGAAAUAUCCACCCCCCUCCCCUUCUUCCUGUUUCCAGACCGUCUAUAGAGCUCAACAGUGAAUCUCCUUGAGACCCUCCUCUCCCAUACUUUCUAAAUCUCACCGCCAAAUCUCUCACCAACCUAGAUAGAGGCUUACACCCUGACUGCCUAGCCAUUAUAAACAAUGUGCCAGUUCUUUAUUUGAUGCCUAAUCCAAAUUCUCUUUAAUGCACCCAGGAAUCAAUCGUGCAUUGUGUUUGCUGGACCAGGGGGUCACUUGAUUUGGCAUGUAUUUCAUGUUCGCAACAAAAAAAAGAAGCGAAUAGUCAUCCAAAAAGCGAAUUUCAAAGGCAGAGCAUUCUCAAACUAGCAACUGCUCAGUUCGCUCAGUUUGUGGCGGUUGAAGGAAUUGAAAGGCAUUACAGAACCCCAGUUGUGGGAUAGACUACAGGAUAUCCUAGGCUAAAAACUUUAAAGGCUUAGCUUUUAGGCAUAUACUGGGAAAAUAAAAAACCCAAAACAUAAGACAUAUACCAUUGUCAAGCUCUUUAGGCAAUGCAACAAGGGUUGGCCAUGAACAUUUUGCAACUAGCACUCUCGAAGCUCAUAUAGUAUUUUAACCUAAUAAUGAUAUGUAGACAACCUAUAAUAUAGAACCUACCAUUUAAUCUGCUGUGGUCUACUUACAGUAUAGGUGCAAUAGGCAGCAUUACAUCAUGAGAGAAAAAUGGCAUAGAGCUCAGGAUUGUGUUAUGUCUUAAUGACUCAGUGGAAAAGAACACUUCUGGAAAUGAUGUAAUGAAGCAUAAGGACUCCCUGAGGAAUCGUUACUGUUGGAAUAUUGUUUCAUUUCACUCCCUGUGGUGGAAAGCUGCCUAUUACAUCUCACACAUGUUGGCCUAUAAUCUUUAAUCCUAUACAUGUGUAUUCUGUACAGAACCCUUUAAUCAUGGAAAGGAUAUUUAUUUUCAGAUUUACAGUGAGUGGUCCCAGUGCAGUCAGGUGUAUUUGCUCUGUAGUGUGUUUCCUCCACUAGAUCUCUGUGCUGUGGUGCCCCUACACAGGCUUAGGAUUAGCAUGGUGCUAGUCAGGUCCUGUAAUGUGCCAUCAGACUAUGCUUCAGGUGUCUCUGCUGACACUGAUCUCUGUGCUUGUAUGUGUGUGUAUGUGUGUGUGUGUGUGCGCGUGUGAGAGUUGUGUGCUUGGUGUAUUUUGUCGUUGCGUGUGAGUGUCAGAUCGUUUGGCUUAUGGCGCUUGGCUAUCGUCUAUGCACAUGCCGAGGGGACUCAGGCAUGACACCUGCCAUGGAGUGACUUGGCUACAGAAAUAGCUGAACUUCUGGCUAGGGGAGUCCAAGUCCAAGCCACCAAGGCUGCAAUUGGUGUCAAGAAGUAUGACC